rnacentral:lncRNA from 1 species
UCUUUGUGGGCCACCGGGUCUCUAAGAAUAGGAGCGCUGCACAAUUUACGCCACUUGAACAGAUCCAGUUUGCUGAAGAACGCCAUUGAUUGGACUUGAGAUUACGGGAGGCUACCGUUUCAUCUGUAUGUGUAGGAUCCUUUGUAUGAUUCGGAGUUGAUAGUUGCUGCAUUGUAGUUCUGAACUUGUUGCGAUCUAGUGUAGGACACAUUGAAAGCAUACACAAUACAAAAUUACAGACUGCCGAUUUUGAUUGUAAGAAACCAUAUUUGUAAAGGCUCUAGUAUGUCAAGCUUUCAACUCUGGGCUACUGCUGUCAUUCGUAGCUUAGUCUGGUUCGAUUACUGAAGUAAACAUUUUUGGGAAUAAAGCCGAAGAAUCUUUCCGAGCGCUCAUUUAUCAGUUGGCCGUGAAGUAGCAUUUUUUUGAAUGCAGAACAAAACUACUCCAUUCGUUUCAAAUUAUAGGUCGUUUUAAUUUUUAUGAACUUAGAAAAAUCAAAACGACCUAUGAUUUGGGAUGGAGAGAGUAUGUUUCACCUUAACAAACAAUCAACUAAAUUGAGUUCAAGUCUGGUGUAAAAUUUUAAAAACGCCAUGCUUUUAAUAUAUUCAGUUUUCAAAAAUUCUGCAGAAUGCCAUAGCACGUUUACCAGAGCCUGAAAAUAUCCGGACGAGUCCGGCCCGUGAGAAGUUGAGAGAACCCCGGGAUGCUGCAGCGGAGGUUCCAUUGCGACCCACGGAACCAGUGACCACUGCCCUGUUGCGUUCUAGGGUUUAAGGCUUUCUGGGCAGCGGCGUUCCAAGGUUUUUGCGCAACCUGCAUCAGCGCCACCUAGGGCUUAGCAGGUGUAGUACCUCGCUCGUGUUCCCUCUGCUGCGCCGCCGCCCCAUGGCCGACCCAGUGGAGGACGCUGCCGCCGCCGCCGCCGCCGCCGCCGUAUCAGCGGACAACGACGACGACGGCGUCGAGGACCUUUACGCGGACCUCGACGAGCAGGUCACUGCCGCACUUGCUGCCGCGGGGGAGAGCGGCGGCUCCAAUGCGAGGGACUCCGACCCGGCCACCGACGGCGAGGGGGAGGUACCGGAGGCCGACGCGAACGAGGCGGUGGAUUUGGGGGACGGGACCGCGGGCUACAGCAGCAGCGACGAGGAGAGCGAUGAUGGCCUCCACAUCGUCCUCAACGAGGACGCCGGCGCGCCGCCUCCUGUGGGCCGCGGCGAGGGGUGCGUGGCUGAGGGUGAGGAUGGGGAGGAUUCGGGCAGCCGGAUGAAGGUUUCAUCUGUUGAAGAAGGCGGCUGGGCAACGGUAUGCAGUGAAUUGGCUGGAUAAUUGGUAGUAUAAGGAUUCUUAUUGGUGCUGUAGUGGGUUUGAAACUGGAAAAGUGUAGAUGCAGUUUAUUCAGGGGAGGUUCUAGGUUCUCCACUACUGAUCUGCAGCACAUUGCAUGAAUUAUGCGGGUUUCUGCCAAUCCUAUGCACACCUCUUGUGAGCUUUAAGUCGAAUUGGCUCUCCGUUCCAGUUUCUUCUGUGCGGAUAUACGUAGAUUGAGACUACUGUUUUGGCAGUCGUUUACUUUAAUGAUGUAUGUUGGACUGCGUUGUUCCAGGUUGGUGGCCUCCAGUGCCAGGGACUUCUUGAGAAAACUACAUUACCUAUCUUGGGGCAAGUGGAUCGAGAUCGCCAGCAUGUGUUCCAACGUGAUUAUAAGUUAUUCUUGCCAAGAAAUAGGUGCUGUUCCUACUCAUAUGAAUGCAAAAACAUGUAAUUAAUGUAGAUUUAUGUACCAUGGUAGUGACUUUUUUGUUAUUAUAGGCAUGAAAAGGGAGAAAAGAAGAUAUUUCUGCCACUUGUUGAGUUAUUAGUCAUUGAAAGCUGCAUAAAUUGGCUGGCCUGUCUAUAUGGCUUCCUGUCGUAAAGUCAUAAUGAAGAUGCACUAUCUUGUGUGCUGAUCCUAUGAUCCUAACACUGCAUUAUUUCAGCACAAUUUUCGACAUAGACAUUGAAGCAUUGCAACAGAAGCCUUGGAGACAACAAGGAGUGGAUCUUACUGAUUACUUCAAUUUUAAUCUGGAUGAAGAAGGCUGGAGAAAAUAUUGGUGCAGCAUGGUACUUUGGUCAUUUUAUUUCCUGUUGACAUUUGUACAUCAUUACAUCAGUUUCUAAGCUGUCAAAUUUACAUCACUACAUGUUUUUGUGCAGAAGCAAUUAAGGUUAGGGACCAGAUCACUUGCAAAUGAAACAUCAGGACUGGAUCAAGUAAGGCAUAAACCUUGGAUGCUUACAAUUUUUCUUGUUGAGCAAAACCUUAUGAUCUAUGUAUUCAGGAAUCGUACAAACUGAAAUCUGUUAAAGCAAUGCCAAAGGCAGCAAAUUAUUCUGGAUUUGAAGGAAGAAAUAGCCUUGCCAAGGUAAUAUGAAGUCAUUUUUAGUGUAUUUGAAUCAGCAUAGGUUCACGUGUAAUCUAUCAGAGCUAACAUAGUUUUCCAAAUCUAGCCAAAGGGUAGAGCAAUCCAUGUUGAAGGUAGUGCGCAUGAGCGUGUUCCGUCAGCAGACUUAUGGCGUCCAAUACAAAGGGAUUCGGAUGUUGUGAUUCAAGUAUGUUUCAUCAAAGUCUUUGUAUGGCUCUUCAAUAUCUUCUCGCUAUAUUCUAACAAGUUAAUCUGAUUGAUCAGGUAAACAUGACGCUUUCACCCUCAAAUCAGUCCACUUCGGAUGACAGCUCAAAGUUAAAUCAUAAGUGUGUGACUACUGAAAGGUAUGCAUAGUUGAAGCUACAUAUUGGGGUCAUUUUGAGGAUGGCUACUAUGUGUUUCUCGAGUUGAUUCCUGAGCUGACUGUCUUCUCAAUUGCACUGCAUGCUGAAUGUCCAUUGCUCAUCCUGGCGACAGAAGAUUGAAGGGCUCUAGCUUUGUGGUAGACAGGGUGGUUGAGAAGGAAGUGCAUGAUGGAGAUUCCUCAGAGUUUAGUGGCAGCAAACUGGAUAGAAGAGAUUCAUCUUGUGCGAGGGCCCAAUCUUUUAGUCCUGAUUAUUCUGAUACGCUUUCUGGGGAAUCAAAAGAAGAUUUCUAUUUCAAGAGAGCCAAUAGACAUUCAGAUUCCAGGGACUUCUUUGAAGACACCAAACUUCAGGAUGAGCAUGUCAAAUCUGACUUUUACCGCCAUUCAAGUAAGUCGGACAGAGAAAACAGCGAAAGUCGCAGUCGUAGUUAUACCCCUUCCCCUGCUGAUGAUAGAAAUCACAAGGCAACUAAACUUUUUCAGAGGGGUGAAGCUCCUUUUGAUGGACGAGGCAAGUCCAGUGAUUUUUUUGUUGAGUGCAAUAGUGAUCACGACCUCGUGAAAUCUGGACGUAAUGCAAGGAAAGAACUGAAGAGACAAAGUGUAGAUGGCGGAAGGUAUGCUAUCUUUGUUGAAAAAGAAAAAUCAACAGAUAGGUAUCCUAGUAGGUAUGGUAGGGAGUAUGAGAAGAGAAGAUCUAGCUUAUCUUCCCUGAGGACCAACUAUCACAAUGCAGGUCACAAUCAAAUUUAUGAGAAGCAAGGUUAUUCUCAUCUGGAAAGAGUAGGUGUGAAAAAUGACAAGCAUUACUUUAGCAAUGAGUCUAAUCACCACCAUAGGCGAUCUUCUUCACAUGAAAUCAAUGAUGGAGAGGAUGUUGAGAAGUGCUUCUCUUCAGCCAAGGAGUGGCAGCAACAUCAUGACCAUGCAUACCAAUCAAUGCUAAAUGCUGAUAUGUCUGAUGCUGAUGAUGGACAGAUGUACAGAGAAAGGUAUUGUCAGGAAAAGAGAAGAGCCAGGCACGACCAUAGCGUGGAUGGCGAAUUUCCCCAUUACACUGACUACGGAUUUUGCGAAUGGCAGAGUCCUGAGGUCAGAGGCAGAUACAGAGACAAAGGAAGAUUUGCCAAAAGCAAUGAUGAGCAUUUCAGACAUGCUAACCAUCUUGAGUUGUAUCCUAGCCGAAAGAAUUCUGAGAGGGACUGGCCUGCUGCUGGCUUCCCUUUUCAAAACUCAAGAAACAUAUGUAUCGAUAACAAAAGAAUCCACAAUGCUAAGAUGGUACAUUAUCAUCGUGAUGGGUAUCAUCAAAAGAACAAUGGCAACAUUCCUCGAUCUGCUUUGUGCAGUGACACAGUUGCUGAAGCUGAACGUUUUAUUCUGCCAGUUAAGAGGAAGCUUCAUGCUGAUCUGGGUUCCAUGAACCAAAAAUGUCUUGCUGAUUUGUCACUUCUGAAAGGAAGAAGAUUGGUGCAUGACCAAUCUAUACUCAGCGAUAGAAGGAUUUAUGCUUUGAGGCUGCAUAAGUUUACAGAUGAAAUUGAUACAAAAGCCAUUUGUAAUUCUGAUGAUAUGAGAAAUAGUAAUACUGUUUCAAACAUUUGUAUUGGGAGAAGACAUGAGCUGGAGAACGCUGAUAACAUCCUCUUGAAUGAUAGGAAAAUAAAGGUAAACUUUGAGGAGAAAAAAUCCAAUAAAAGUGUACAUAUCAAAUUUUUUUAUCAAUCUUGUACUUUAAAUUUUUUUACAUUCUUAUUUCUGGCAUAUAUAAUGAUAUAUUCUACUAGCACUCAAAUGCACAUGAAAGAAAAUUGAGUCACGCUUUUAGGUAAAUUACACAGAUCAUAAAUCAGUAUGAGGAUUAGUGGAGUAUUGGCUAACUGGGCAUUGCUAACCAUGACCCCAGUUUUCUUAAACAUAAUCAUUUUGGAUAGCAUCAAAGCACUUCUGAUCAACAUUUGCAAGUUCUAAUUUAAUCUGUUCAAUUUUGUUGGGAUACAACAUGGUUUGGUUGCAUUUCAAAUCCAUCUUCAAAUGCCGGCAAACAAUAGUUAAUAUUUUUCUGUCAAAGAUCUGUGUAAACUCCCACAGUGCUAGCCUUUGUCCAAAUUGGUCCAGUACUCUAGUGUUGUGAUAUGUUGACAUUGUUUUAUUGACAAAUAACCUUCUUUGUGUCGAUAAGAGCUGUGGGAUUCUUGCUGUGAAACAUAUCCAAAGAAUUAUAAAUAGGAUUAUAGGAGUGCUUGGAACUUAGCAAUCCAUGCAUCAGGACUAUAGACCUACAGGCCAAGUUCUUUUACUGCUUCUGUUAUUGCAAAUACUAUAUUGCUAUUUUUAUAUUAUAACAAUAUCGCUUGGUUUGUGAGGCUUUUGUUGGAUUUUGUCUCUAGACCCUAAACUAGCUUGGGAGUCAGGACUAAAGGCUCUGUCAGUGUAAAUAAUCUUCUUUGACUUACAUUAAGUUCAACUUUUUUGUCCAUCUUUACUGUGUAGGUUGUCUUAUACAAGUCACAUGAUAAUCGUUAGGUUAUCUAUUAGUUAGUAGCAAUCUUCUAAAAUGUGGUAAGCAAGCUGCUAACUCACUGCUUAGUGCUAAAGCAGUAUGCCGGUGCUUAAUCUUGUAGGCCUUAUUUAGGCUAGGAGUAGUUCAGAUCUUACUUAACUUAAUUAUUGAUAGUUCAGAUCUUACUUAACUCAAGUAUUGAACAUUUACCUAAAGGGGUCAUCACUGACCAUGAAAUAUUUGUUCUUUCUGGCAUUCCACAUCACUCAAAUUAAAGCUUGUCUAUGAUACAAAUUGAAAACUAAUGCAUCCAUCAUCCAUGGAAACAUUUGUUAUUUCUUAGUUUAGAAGCAUUUAGUUAAUCCAUAGUAAAAUCUUAUCUCAUUAGACAGAUGUUACAUGUUUAUCUUUUUGACAAUUGCAAACAAAGGGAUACAAACUUAAAUGCUGCAUCGGAACCUGCAGCUAGCAAUCACUCUGCACUAGGGACUUCUCCAUAGCAUCUUUUCAGCCCCUAAACUAGUCCCAGAGGCUAGAGCAAGCCCUCUCUUGCUUGUAGCUAUUUAGAUGACUGCAUAUGCACUACUUAUUCCUAUGCUAGUUCAUAACAAACUAUAUUUCAUAACAGCUGUUCGUGGUGUUUAAGAGGCUAAAUUUAGUGUUGAAUACACCUAGGUGGAUUUAUGUGGAAGUUUUGUCUUUAUCUUUCUACAUAAUACUGGACCAACAUGUGAUGUGAUAUGGCAUUAUACUGAACCAGCAUGUGAUGUGAUAUGGCGUUAUGGCUCUAGUUCUUGUUGAAGUGUUUGCUGUGCAAUGUAUCUUAGAGACAAAUAAACUACUUCCUUAAUGUGUUUCUGCUGGCUGGAGUUGAGCUCUUCCUCCUAUCAUCUGGUUGUAUUCUUGAAAGCCUGUCAAAGAAAAACAUAGCUCUGGCAGUCUGUACUAGUCAAUGUUUUAUGAGGAAGUGCUUUGAUGCUAUCAAACACAUUCUUUCUUAAAAAAAAAUUCAUGCUCUAUAGUAUCUUACAACAAAGUGCCCUCCUCUCAUGUCUCACUCCAAACUGUCCUAAACAAAUACACAGUAGGGGGAGGAAUAGGAUGCAUGAGGGUAGGAGAGCGAGAAGAUAGAGAGAGGAUUUGGAUAACAUUAUAACACAGUAAUACUAAACUUAUGGGAACAAAUGCAUAUAAUAAAGAAAAUAUUGUGCUGAAAGUCCAAUUUCUCCUCUUGGCUUCAUCUUCUCUCUGGUUACUUAUUUCUGGUUGUGCGGGCAAGGGCAACCAUGUUAGCUAAACCGUGGUGCCUUUGGGUCAGGUGAUGGGUUGAUGGGUGUUAAGUGAAAGAUUUGUAGAUAAGGGUGUUUAGUGAACUUUAGAAGAGUUCAAGGGGUAUAAUGGACUUAUUCCUUCGCAAUUAUUUGCCUCGUAUCCCAAGGAAUAAGUCUAGCUUAGACCCAUGAACUUUUGAAAAUUCCAAAUAAUGCCCUCAGUUGCAAAGCUGGAUAUUUAACACCCUAAACUUACAAAUGCUUACGAGGAUAGUUUUGCUGAUGCAGCCUAAAAUAGUAGAGGAUUUUGUCACACGGGCAACACAUUUGUAACCAUGUUUGAAUUUUGAACCUUGUCUCACACAAAUCAACAUUUUGUUUCUAACUUGAAACCUAAACAAAUAUAAAUUAUGAUUAGUAGCUCCUCUCUGCCCCAGGAGUGGGUUUGGUGUGAUAGCGUAGGUGAGCUCCUGGAUGACCAUCUCAUAUUUGGGCUGAACUAAUUUGCUAUGCUACAGACUUUUGGUUUGUGUUACCUUUUCAUUGCUGAUGCAGAUGUUCUGCCACUACUUGCAACCUAAGAUACACAAUGUACCUAUCUUGUUGCUUAUUUUCACAUUUGAGUUGUGUACCUUUUCUACUUUCAUUCUAGCUAUUGAUUUGGUGAGCCUCAGUAACUAAAAACUUUUAGCUUCAUUUGUUUCUAAAUUGUAACAAUACCACAAUAGGUUCGCUUGUUCAAAUGGAACUGCUAGGUUAACUAUUCUAGUGUUUAAAAAACUAUUAUAUUGUUCCCUUUAUCAAGAUCUUAUAAGUUAUAUCUUGUUUGUUGUUUUUUCAGUCACACUGGGAGAUUUAAGAGAUUUAUUCUUCAGAAACUCUCUAUUUUUAACCACUUAAUACAUUGACAUUUUUACUUGAUAUAUGGUUGACUCAAUGACUCUAAUGUUGUCCAAUGUUCAAUUAACAUUCUGUGUUCAGGAAUUCAGCAAGUUGACCAAACCUUUAAACUUGUGCUGUUCAUUAGUUUUUCUUUGGACUAUCCCUUUUGAUUUGAUUGUUCUUGUACAUUCAAUAUAUUCCCUUGUAAUGUGGCUAUAGUCACCAAUUUAUUUGAUUAAUAACAUCCCCUGAUUGUUGCUAGCCUUAUCGAUGUACUGUUUAUUGAUUCUUAUUCCAUUAUAACAUGUGCACCUUUAAUAGUUCCCUCAAUAGUAGCUUGAGUUACACAGCUCUCCUGCGUAGUUCGAGAAAUAGUAGCUUGGGUUAGUGCUAUGUGAUAUCAUCUCUUGAUGGUUUCUUUACUGCUUAAUUAAACUUUACCUUUUUUUCUCGUAAAACAUCUAAUUUGUCGUAACCCGUUAUGUUAUGAUUGUGCACUAGUGUAUAUUGGUUUGUUUCAUUUAUUUCUACCUACAGCUUAUAUUUACUUACCUGCAAUUCGUUCAUGCUUAGGUAUUCCUUUUAAUUAUAAUCAAGAGUUCUGUCAAACUAAUCAUAUAUAUUAUUCUAAGAACAUCUCACCUGAAGUUUCCGAUGAACAUGAACCUGUGCUGUAACUUUGGGUUUAUUUAAACCCUUCUCUUCUUAAUAUAUUGAUACGCAGCUCUCCUGCGUGUUUGAGAAAAAAAACAUGAAAAUGUGUAGCAAGACUGAGCUGUUAGCAACUGAGAUGCUCACUGAAAAAACGAGAGGAAAUUUUACUGGCCAUCUUAUGCUGCUUAGGUUCCUAGUUUUUUCCCCAUAAAAAUGAUCUAGGUCAAAUCGGUUACUUUAUGGGAUGGACUAAUUGAUAAGUAUUCUCUGUUUUCUGCACAUUUCAAUUUCAGAAUGCCCUUUGCUAUAUUAUCAUGGUUUUACUAGAAUGUCUUUUGGUUUCUCUUGCAACAUUUAUUUACAGCAGCAAUAUAAUAUUUCGGAACUUGGAGCUGCUUUUGAUGAGGUGCAUAUUGUCAAGAGCCACCAAAAGCAGAUAUAAUUUUUGCUAUAUCAAGUUCUGAAAGCAUGUGACCGUAUUCAACUCUGAUAUCAUUUUUCUUUUCCUGAUAGCAAGAAACAUUACGAUGGUUUCGAAAAGCAAGCAGAUAUGUCUAAUUUUUUUAAGAGCAAUCUAAGGCUAGCAUCAAGAUAUUCCACCCCAACAAACAAAAGAACUCAUAAACUUCUCUGGCUAACCAAUAUGUUAUUAAUGUCAGAAACUUCUUUGGCUAACUAAUAUGUUUAGUCAGCAUAUUUUGCCACUACUUUUCAACAACAAACGCUCAUGCGUUACCAUAUAUUUGAACUUUUAGGGCCUCUUGGUUUUCUUAGUGUAAUAUCCAAAGUGAAUUGUGAGAUUAUUCUGUGUCCUGGCUACUUUUUUAAAAAAAUCUUACUCGUCAGAUGUUAGGCAGGAAAAGUGGAUAACUACCGGAAAGUUUGCAGUUUGUUGUGCAUGCUUGCUUUUUAAUAUAUCUUUACAUCAACUUGGCUGUAUUGGAGAACUCCCACACUGAGCGAGGCAAUGCCUUGCAGAUUUUCGUUGUGUUUCUGUCGUUUGCUUUUACUACAGCCUUUCAUUUUGAUAAGGAGUUGUUCUAAAACUUCAUAGCACAAUUGCUUAUUCUAGGGUGGAACACAAAUGUAUGUAUUUGUUGCAUUGUUUCUUUGUAUUUGCUAUUUUGGUGCAAAAUGGUAGUUUGUACCAUAUCCUUGCACAUAUUCUCCAGAUGGACUAGACUUCUAUUCCUCAAUGCUAUACUGUCAUCUUUUUGCAGUUUGAGAGGCGAGGCAAUGAGUUAAGGCGUGUAAUUGAAGAUGACCAAAAGGGAUGUAUUCCUGUGGCCAAGGAUUUGCACAGUUCCAAACAGCAGCAUGUACAUCAGAAUGCGCGGAAACAGAGUAUGGGCUACCAUCACUUGGGCAAUCAGGAUUUGAAGAAAUCAGCGCACCAAAAUCGGCAAAAUGAAGAUGAUGGGGAGAUUGAGGAGGGAGAACUGAUCGAACAGGACCAUCAGGAUAUCAUUUCUACAAGCAAGCUUAAACCAAGAAAAGUUGUACUGAAAUCAGUUAUUGAAACAAGUUCAGCAGAGCAGCCUCAGGUGAAUGAUGCGAUGGCAAAAGAUGCUGUCUGCACCAACGGAGCUACAAGAGAAUGUGAUAAACACAUACUUGAGAUAAUGGAAAAGAUGCAAAAAAGAAGGGAAAGGUUCAAAGAGGCUAUUGCUCCAAAAAAAGAUGAUGGUGACAAGAAAGAGCUAUCGGCUGUAGCAUGUAGUACGGAUCGUAUCCAGAAUCAGCGACCUCUGAGGAAAAGGCGUUGGGGUGGUAAUAGUUAGAUGCUGGAAAUAUCUUGAGAGCUUGUCCAUGAUGGUUUCUUCAUCAAGAUAUUCCUGCCUAUGAUGCUCAAAUUCUUAUAUUGUUACUUUUGUUUAUUCUGAUGGUUGGGCUAGGGAAACAAAAUAUAGGAAGCAUUACUUGAUGUUAUUUUUAUAGUAUAGUAUCUUUCAUAGUUUCAGAGUAAUAAGUUUCACAAGGCAAUCAUACUUCACAAUGUAAUGCGUUUGUACUGGGGUGCAUUCACCAUUGAGGGGUGAUUUACUAUCCCCUGGGUUUUUUAAGCUUACACUUAUGCAUGCAGGCAAAUAUUUCUGUGUUUUUUGGUGGCAAGAUCUGUCUGCAGUUUUGCUGUAUUGUAUAGCUGUAGAGAACAACAUAUCAUCUCUUUAUGCUCUGACAUCGAGUACCGUUAACUCCGGAUUCCUUGAAGCAGCGACUGUCUUUUUUCCCAUUCUGAUGCAUUCAUAGUAGAGCGUAUAUUGUUGCUGCUGCUUUUUUUCCUGUCUGAUUGUGUUUAUAUGCUUCUGCUUCCGUAGUGCUUCCUAUGUUAAUUCGAUCAGCUCGACAGUACUGUCAACCCUGGGGAUUUGUUGUGCUAGAUUAGUAGGUUUAUUGAUAGACUCCAUGACUUCGAGAUAUUCUAUUUUCUGCUCAAUGCUUCCUCGUUUAAUUUCUGUCUUAAAAAAGAGACGGAUACUUUGGCCUCGUGUAACCCUAGAAGACGAGACACGCGAGCAACUCCAUUGCCAGAAGAACUGAAGAAGGUGGCCCUCUCACGAGCACACAACUGCACGAGAGGCGUGGAAGAGUGCUGCUCCUGUGCUAGAGGGGCAACCGCCUUCGGCGAGUGAAAACACGCCACUCGCGCACACAAAAAUAUCGACGCGCGCCGGCACCCGUCACGCACGCCGCCCAGAUUUCAAGCUUUUUACAACCGCCAGCGCCAAGUGCCCAAGUGACAGUAGUCUCGGCGGUGAUCCGAACCCCGCGCCGACGUGGCGCGCCUCCAGCCUCCAGCCGCGCCCCCAUCCCGUCCUCCCGUUUCUGCCCCUCCAACGCCCGGUACGGCAUUAACGGCACCGCAUCCGCGAGGGCAGUCGCGUCAAUUCAACCCCACGUCGUCUCCUUCCCUCUCAAAGGCGCGCCCCGCUCGCUCAGUCAGUUUGCUACAGCCAGACUCCGAUUGAGCUCGCAUCCAUGGCGAUGCGGCUCCUGUCCCCCUCCACGCCGCCCCCGCACUUCCCGAGCCCCGGCACGAAGCCACCCGCCUCGGCGGCCGCAGCUCUGCCGUCGUCGUCGUCGUCCUACUUCUCCCUCCGCCUCCGCCGCGCGCGCGCGGCUGCAGCUGCUGGCGCGGCCGCGGCAGGCGGGCCCGAACGGGAUGGGGGCCGGUUCGAGGGGAAGACGAUGGGCGGGGCGUUCGACAGGGGCCUCGCGGAGAUCGCGAAGAAGGUGCCGCUCUUCGAGCCGGCGACGGACGGGGAGCUCGCCGCCGCGGCCGGCGAGCGGCCGCUGCCCAUCAACCUCGAGCUCUGGCUCUACCGCGUCAAGGUGCACACCCGGAAGUUUGAGUUCCCUGAAGCAGAGAAGCUCCUCGACAAGGUGAGCACGUAGGGAAUUGUAGCAUUAUAGACUGGGAGUUCAUACACGAGCACAAGGUUUGUACCUAGCGAAUUAAGGCGAGUUGAAACUAGAAGACGAGCAUAAGUGCAUUUGUGUGCUCUAAUUGAGGAUUUAUACGUGGUAUUAAGCUGCUUGGUCCUUCUGAGCUGACGUAUUGGAUGCUCUGUGUGCCGAUCAGUGUAUCUCAUUCUGGCCUGAAGACGGACGUCCAUAUGUGGCACUGGGAAAGCUUUACAGCAAGCAGUCAAGGUAUGACAAAGCUAGAGCGGUAUAUGAAAGGGGAUGCCAGGCAACGCAAGGCGAAAACCCAUACAUUUGGCAGGUUCGCACAUGAUCACUUCACCACUUUGUAGUUGUAGGGUACUGUGCAAGAUGUCGAGUUUCCUAGUAAGGUACUCCUAGUAUCCUUCACAUUUGGGAUAUUACUGUUGAAGUAACCUUAGUUCGUUAUGUUUGAGGGAGGUGUGUUCAGCAUUAUCCUAAAUGUAUGAUUAUGUCGAUUUGCACUUAGUCCAGCAAUGGGUGGUUUUGAGCGUUUGGGCUUAAGUCCAGUGCAUUGCAUUCCUUGCAGUUGCAGGUCAACUGCUUGUCUGCUUUUCUUCCAAAUAGACGAAAAGCACAGUGCAUUAAGAUGCACACUGUAUUUUGUUCAUAGGGACAACUUCAUAUCAGUGUUGUUUUAUUAACGCUUAAGGAAUCUUUUGUUCCUUAUGACUGAAUUAUAUACAACACGCUGGAAUACUAUCCAGAUCAACAAGGUAAGGCCAAUUUGUGCCUUUAUAACCAUAACCAUUUUUGUUCCAUGCAUCUAUGAUUUAGCCAUUUAAGAAUAAACCACAGCAUGAGGCCAUGUAGAAUUCAUCAUUUAUCCUUUUUUUCUACUGCUGAGCAGUGUUGGGCAGUCCUAGAAAGCAAGGGUGGAAAUAUUCGAAGGGCACGAGAGCUAUUUGAUGCUGCUACUGUGGCUGAUGCAAAGCACAUUGCUGCUUGGCAUGGGUGGGCAAUUUUAGAAAUAAAGCAAGGAAACGUAAAAAAGGCACGGAACCUACUUGGGAAAGCCCUAAAAUAUUGUGGAGGAAAUGAAUAUAUUUAUCAAACUCUUGCUUUGCUUGAAGCUAAAGCAGAGCGUUUUGAACAAGCACGGACUUUGUUUCAACAAGCCACUCAAUCCAAUCCGAAAAGUUGUGCAAGCUGGCUAGUAAGUAUUUUCUUCAUAAUUAUUCUUUCUUUCUUUGCCAAAAGAAACCGCAGAGCUGCCUUCUCUUCAAACUGUGCAUUUAUGUCGGGCAACUUUCUAGUAGGCGUGGGCUCAGGUUGAAAUGCGUGCAGGAAACAAUACUAUGGCCAGAAAGCUCUUCGAGGUAAUAGUUUCUUUUCCCUUUCUAGGAUAACCAUGUUAUCAUUUAUGAUUUUGUUGGUGUGAUUUUGUGCAUUCCAAAAUACUCCUUCCAUUUCAAAUUGCAAGUCAUUUUGAGUCCUCUAGAUGCAUAGUUUUUCCUAUGUAUGCAUACAUAAUACAUAUAUCUAGAAUUCUAAAUGCAUAACAAAACCUAUGAACCUAGAAAAGCGAAAACGACUUACAAUUUGAAACGGAGGGAGUACAGCUGACCAUCUCCUUAUGUUCACGUGUAUUUAGAAGAAGUGUAAAGUAGAAGCGGAAUUACUUUCAGUACAAGUUUUCUCUAUCCAAACUUUAAUGGUUAUCUCUAGUCACGAAAGGGUCUCUAGCUGAAUUGGUUAGAUGGCCUCAGUAGCACUCCUCAGGUCCUGGGUUCGACUCCCCGUGCGAGCGAAUUUCAGACUGGGGUUAAAAAAAAUCCCCUCAUCUGUUGCCAUAGCACAGAUCAAGGCCCGGCACAAGUCGUAGCUGUGGUUGGUUUGGGCCCUCCUAUCUGGGGGUAGUUGCAGUGGUCGCCAGCCCAGUGGUAAUCUCACAAGGGUUACGGGCCCCUGUGUAAGGGUGGGGAAGAGAUUCGGGGGUUUUCUCAGCUUGCGUGAGAAGGUCUUCUUCUUAGAAAAAAACCCGGGGGGCUGUCUUACCCCCUGCAGGUCAAGUUUUUAUAAUUGUCUCUAGUCUCAACUAGUAUGAAUACCCGCAGGUCGAGUUUUUAUAGUUAUCUCUAGUCUCAACUAGUAUGAAUAUAAUGCUGUGAGAUUAAUUUGUUCAAUUUAUACCGAAAUGUUGCUUUGAUACCCUCUAUUAACAUAUGAAUGCGAUGGUUUGUCACAUGUGUAAUAUUUUUUCUAAAAUUUCCAAUGUAUGGAGUAUUAACUUUGAUUUUCAUGUUGCAGAAAGCUGUCCAGGCUAGUCCAAAAAACCGGUUUUCAUGGCAUGUAUGGGCACUAUUUGAGGCAAAUGAAGGUAACAUUGACAGGGCAAGGAAGUUGCUAAAGAUUGGGCAUGCUGUAAACCCUAGGGACCCUGUAAUUCUCCAGUCACUUGCACUGCUGGAAUACAACUAUUCAUCAGCAAAUGUUGCUCGUGUGUUAUUCAGAAAAGCAUCACAGAUUGACCCGAGGCAUCAGCCAGUUUGGAUAGUAAGAAUUUUCUGCACCUAUCUCCUUUAUCUGACUAUGUAACUUCCAUGUAGUUUCCUUUUAAAAAAAGUUUUUUAAAACAAUUUUUUGUUUAUUCCUACAUGAUUUUUUGCAUGGAUUUACAAUUACUUUCAGUUUCUGAUAUUGCUUCUUGCACUUCUUACCACUAGAUGUUUUUUCUUGGAGAAACUUCUUACUGCUAGAGUUGCAAAUUACAAGUACUGUCGUUGUUUAUCUUCCCAGUCACAAAUGAAUACAUGCGAUCCAACAAUUCGGGGAGUGGGAAGGUUAUGUGAAUAUCCAGUUCCCGCCUUAUUAAUUUACAGUAUUUUUGUUUCUUCUGUUGAAAUUUUGAGAUUUUUUCAAUGCACAUUCACUUCAACUCUGAACCUUAAGAUUCCCAGCAAUAACUAUGAGAAUAAAAUUUCUCAGUGAAAAGUCUUACAUCUUUAAGUAUGCGCACGGCGCACCUGAUAUAUACAGCUAAAUGGUUAUAAGUUUCCUCAAAGGAUAAAAAACAGUUUUGUACUGUUUCCACUUUCUAGUACAUAUGCAUUGUUGUGCUUUACAUAUGGAAGCUAUUUUAUUUAAGAUAUAUCUGAAACUUAGCAGUGACACAUAGAUCAUAUUGUAGGCUUGGGGGUGGAUGGAGUGGAAAGAAGGAAAUGCAAGAACAGCAAGGGCCCUCUAUCAAAGAGCUUUGUCAGUCAAUUCAACGAAUGAAUGUGCAGCUCGUUGUCUCCAGGUAAAGCAUAUCACUCAAGAGUCUGGUACUUGUUAAACUGUAAGCAACGGCAUUCAUCUUGAAUGCCAUUGUAUAUGCAGAAGUUCAUUUGAGUGCUUGAUGAACUAGUGUAUCAUGGUUGUCAAAUAUCAAUGCUUGUAUUAGUGUAGAAUCUAGUUUGCUGCAACUUUAUACACUUAGCCGGUCUCAAACUGCCGUUGUUGCAGCAAACUGAAGUUUUGGGUGCUGAUUUCAGAACUUACAGGCCAGUGUUCCAUUUUCUAUUCCAUAAUAGUUGCUGCCUGCUUUUGUAGGCUUGGGGAGUCCUAGAACAGCGUGCUGGUAACUACACCGCUGCCAGAAGAUUGUUGAGAUCUUCGCUGAGCAUAAACUCUCAAAGUGAGGUGACAUGGAUGACAUGGGCAGCACUAGAGGAGGAACAGGGGGAUCCAGUUCGAGCUGAAGAAAUUAGGAACCUAUACUUUCAACAGGUUAGUAAGUUAUAGCUGCCUAUGGAGCAACACCUUUGCCUGUUCAUGUUUUGCAUUGUAUCUAAUUCUCCGCACAAGAUCUUUUUGUCGGUGUCGACCAUAGACAACACAGUAGGCGACAACUAUUCAAGUUAUCUUUGUCACUCUGUGAGGAUCUUAACUGUGCCACUGAUCAUUGCACAUUCUGACAGCGUAUCGAAGUUGUGGAUGAUGCCUCCUGGGUCAUGGGCUUCCUCGACAUCAUCGACCCUGCCCUAGACAGCGUGAAGAAGCUCCUAAACCUAGACCAGCCAUCCGGGCCUGUGAAGCAGGACACUGUUAAAAGCACAACAGAAUCGAAUCUUCCUACCACCAGGAGUUCUGCAGAUGAGUCUUCAGAAUCUUCAGCAACUGGAGGUACCUCUGGCUUUUCCAGCAAUGAUGCCGAUAACAGCAGCAGCGAAGCAGCAGAGACUCCAGGAAGUGAUUUCGAUUUGGACGGCUUCAUAAAAAAGAGGCUGGGCCUCGACCCGUCGGAGCUGGAUGCGGUGCUUGAGGGUUCUGAUCCGAGGGGAGUUGUUUCUCAGAGGAGGAAUCGGCGGCUGCCCAGGAAGCCUCUCCCUCUUCUUCCUGUCCCGUAAAUUUUCCAGAUCAGUCUGUUCCACACUUCCACUCCCACCGGUAAAAAUCACUAAUGCCAAUGCCAUUACUGAGAGAAGAGAAUGACACACCUGCCGCUGCCAUUUAGCAAUCACCUGUUAAUUAUUAUCGCCACCACAUGUACGUAGUUCUGCCACCAUCUGUUCCUGGUAGAAGUUUAGCCUUGUACAUAAAUUAGACUGUGUCUACAUAAUUUUUUUGGACCGAAAUACCAAGUUAUUCUUCCAAAUGCUAAUGCCAUUGCUUCAAUCCCCUUAAGUUACCAGCUAAAAAGUCACCUAUAAGAUGGAGAAGCCUGGAUAGCACAAGCUGAAAAAUCUCAAGAAUGAAAGAGAGAAUGCUACCCAUUUUUAGAUCAGAGAAUGCUAAGUUACUACAACUGCAUUUGAUCCGAUUUGACAAUAUGGCACUUCAUUUUUUUUUUGUUUGAUACAGCAGUGGUAAAACUAGUAAUCAAGGAGCAGAAAACAGAAGCCACGAGGCAGCCACAAACGGCUGUUAACCUUUCAGAGUUCAAACAACAAAUAAACUCUUCAAUUCACCGUCCAUGUGUCUGAUCUCUCAAUCUUAGCAAACACUCAAAUUGGGCGCACCUGUCUGCCCCAGGACACUCCUGGAGGAGUGGAGGUGGUGGUGUCUGAGGCGGCGAAGGAGGCGGCUGCUGCCCCUGCUAAUGCGGCGGCGGGCGGUGCAUCUGCAUUGAUGGUGGUGGUGUCUGAAGGAGAGCAGGCAGUGGAAGCUGCCCGUGGAAGUGCGGCGGCGGGCGGGCCACCUGCAUGGGAGGCGGUGGUGUCUGAAGGAGAGCGGGCGGCGGAUGCUGCCCGUGGAAAUGCGGCGGUGGCUGGUGCUGGUGCAUGGGAGGCGGUGGUAUCUGAGGCAGCCCAGGAGGCGGCCGCUGCCCCUGCAGAUGCGGUUGUGGCCGGUGUAGCAGUGCGGAAGGUGGUGAUCGCAGCAGUUGCAUCGGCGGGUGCGCUGUUGGCGCCGGGGUGGGUGGCCAGCGCCAGAGCACAUGCGGCGGCAGCGGCGGCAGCACACUGGGCGCGCCCCAGAACGGCGCCGGGUAAGACGUCGGAACCGUAUGUGUGCUCCAUCCCGGCGCUGGCCCUGGCAGUGUGGGCAGCGGCAAGCCCCAGAACAGCUGCGAAGGAUUCGGCAGCACCGUGGGCAUGCCCCAGACUGCUGGCGCGGGGAUCGGCGCCAACGUAGGCUGAGGCCGGCACAGUGGCGAACGCCGCGGCGCCGCGUCCUGUGGCGGAGACGGAGAUGGCGGAGGCGGCGGCGGGGAAGGCGGUGGAGGCGGAGUGGGAGACCGCAUCCACAGCGGUGGUGGUGGCGGCGGCGCCGGCAGCGACGACGGCUCCUGCUCCCGCUCCACCUUCACGAUCACGUUCGCCUUGUUCCGUGGCGCACCCGCCUUCACCUUCUUGGACUCGGCGACGUCACCGGGCAGCCCGUACGCGGAGCGGCGCGUCCGCUUGGACCGCGGGCGGCGCCCGGCGAGGACGAAGUCGGCGGGCCGGGGCACGCGCUCCACCGGCUCCGGCCCGUCGGCACUCCGCGCGCCGAACGUGGCGACGCAGCCGAUGGGGCACUCGACCCACCCGAUCGCCUCGACGUCGUCCCUAACCUGCGCCGCGGUGAUGGCGGCCGCGGAAGGCGCGGACGGCUGGUGCAGCGUGGAGCGGCGCGGCGGCAGGAGGUCCACCUGGCCCACCAGGCACUCCAUGAUCCUGCCCUGCUCGGAGGCCCCCUCGCGCGAACAGCUCCAUGCGCGUUAGUCACACAGAAACAACGAAGAACUGGGGUUUGGAGGUUUUUUUUUUGGGGGGGGGGGGGGGGGGGGGGGGGGGGGGGCGAGUUUGUUGGCGCGCGGUUUACCUUUCUCCCGUGGUGGAGCUUGAUGAAGCCAUGUAUGAGCAGGAUCUGCAGUAGACACACGUUACAAUUUAUUUUUUUAAAAUGGAAUAAAUAAAUAAAUAAUUAGGGGAUUAAGAACCGAUCGAGUACAACGAAGAGGAAAUGCUGGGACACUGAAAAUCAAUAUGCAUGCAGGAACCCUGGAGAUUCAGGAGAAUUUGGGGGAAGAAUAACAGGGUGAGAGAGAUAUUUGACGGUACGUACCUGGUUGAGUUGAUCGAUCCUGAUCUUGGUGCCCCACGGGUCGAGGAAGAAGUGGUGGUACUUCUCCAGCGUUAGGGGCUCCCCCUUCAUCUCCCUCUCCGGUCGCCGCCUUCCUCGCCGUCCUACUCUCUUCCUCUCCCCCGAUCUUCCUCCCUCCUGCACCUUGGUAGUUCGGGCCGUCUCUCUUCUCCUCUCUCUUUCCGCUAUGCAGAACCACAGAUUCCGUCUACGAUGCCAGCAACGGCAAGGCCACCCGCACAAGUAAGAAGGAACCGCGAGAAGCAGAUGACGACGCGGCCUGAACGAAAGCGUGGGCCUGUCGGCUAGCCCAGCCCCUACCGGCUUCUUUGGACGGUCAGGAUCGUCGGAGCACGCAAAUCGCAAACGACGCUGGUCGUUGGAUCGAGGCGCGCGUCGCGGUCUGAUCAAGGUGACCAACUCCCAAGUCCCUCCGCCCUCCGCCCUCCGCCCGUGCUCGAUGCGUGACGCCUGCCCGGGCACCGGACGGAGGCAGAGCAGCUUUGCUUUCGCCAAAGCGGCCAGAGCCCAGAGCGUGUCCACCCUUUCGCCAAUGCGGAUACGCGACACUUCACAUGCGAUGUGGGAGGCCGAGGCGCGCGCUGCGCCGUGGCCCGUGGCGCGGCAGCCGUCUCCGAACGGGACGCGCCAUCGAUUCACCGUUCGACAUGUGGACAAAUGGACAAUGCCCUCGGCUCCUCUCUGUUGCCUCUGAACCCUUUCCCCCUCCGUUCCUCGCCGAAGCGCGCCGAUCGCGUCGUUCCUCUCGGCUUUGCCUUCACUGCUCUUUGCCUUCUCGGUGCAUAAGCGACACGACAGUACACUUGCGAGAAAAUGGCAGACGGGGAGAAGGAAAGAGACGACAGGAUCGGCAGCGCGCGGAAGACUUCAAAUGCCGUUUCACAACUCGAGCAACGCAGGCGAGCAACGCUGCUGCUCGGCGCUCGCAGCGUGUCGCUGAUGCUUUCUGUAGUGCGGUCCCCCGGGAUUCAAAAAAGCAAACUACGGAGCACUACUACAUUACCAGAAGCGAGAACCUGCUCGCAGGAAAAAGCAUCUUGCAGCGUCAUGCCGUCAUCGGCUAAACAACUUUAAUUGGCUUUGAUCCUUCACGCCGGUUCCUCAGCUCAAACAUAAUUUACAGAUCACGACUCCUUUCAACAGAACGAGAUUAAUUAGCUUUGAUCCUUCACGCCGAUUCCCCAUCACCACCACCAUAAUUUACAUAAUUACAUCACCCAUUCGAGCCAUUCUACCAAAAGGACGGAACAGUACUGAUGAUCAGAAACCGCAGCUAAUCUAACGACAUCCGAAGCCCAAGUGCAUGUUGUAGUACUGAUGAUCGGAAGCAGAAAUCAAGCAGAUGCCGGUGCCACCUCGCCGGCAGACGGGCGGUGAGCAGAGAGCUUGGGGGAACGGCGCCGCUACGCGGAGGUGGCCAUCUCGACGGACGGGAGCGUGAGCAGCUCCACCACGUGCCGCCGCCUCGUCUUGGUCGCGGCCUUCCCCCUGCCCGUCGGGGAGCGCUUCUUCCUGGCCGCUGCCGGCGGCGCGGGGGGCAGGGGCGACGAGGCGCUGAGCAGGCUCGGCGGGGAGAUGCGGGCGAUGGCGGAGAUGGGCACGGGGGUUGCGGCGGCGUCGAGCGACCGCACCCCGGCGCGGACGGAGAGGAGGGAGCCGACGGGGCACUCGCGCCAGCCGAGGUCCUCGAUGUCGCGCGUGGCCUCGUCCGCGGAGAGCGCGGCGGCCGCGGCCGGGGCGGCGCUCGGCGGCGGCGCGGUGGCGUUGAGGGGCACGGUGGAGCGGCGCGGGCGCAUGAGCUCCACCGACCUGAGCGCGUCCACCAUCGCAGGCUGCCGUCGUGGGGCCGCGAGAGGCGUCAGUCAUCAGAAACCCAGAUAAUCGAAGGCUUUAAUUGGAGAAGAUGGGGGUGGAAGCCACAAGCCUGGAAGGGAGGGGUGUGUACCUUCGGAACGCGGUGGAGCCUGGCGAACGCGUGCAUGUAGAUGAUCUGCGACGAGGAGAAGGGGGGGAAAAAAGUUCAGGGCACGCGCACGCAACCACGGACACGGGCUGAUCUGCGACGAGAUAGAGAAGGGACCUCGUUGAGUUGGCGGAGGCUGAGGCCCUUGCCGCCGCGGGUGGUGAAGAAGACGAUGUAGUCCUCGAGCGUCAGCCGCGGCCGCUCGGCCGCCGGGAUCCUCGGCAUCGCUGACCCCCCGCGCGCACUUCCUCCUCCUCCUCUUCCCUUGGGUGCUGCGCCUCCGCGACCGCGCGUGGUGAACUCCGAAAGCGGGUGGGCGGUGGACCGGUGGUACUAGAGCGGCAACCGACGUCGCCGCUGGGCUUAUGGAGGUGCCCGACGGACAGGGGCAGCGCUGCAAAGCGGCGGGAAAGUGGCCCCAGCCGGGAACGGGCCCGCGCGUCAGGUGAAUACGUGAAUCCCGCGUCGCCUCCUGGGCACGGCGCCACAGCGGGAACUCGGAAAAAAAAACAAGAAGACCAGUGGCGCGCGCGCGUACUGCGAUGUUCCUGAAAAGUGAAAACCCAGAUGGCCAGAUCAAAUCACAGAGUAGAGUAGUGCCGUGCCGCCGGGUGGAUUGCGACUCGGCGGCACCACGACAAACCGGGCGGCCGAAUGCCACUCCACUUCCUUCGGUUGUUGGGAACACUGCUAUUUUUUAGAAAAUUGACCAGUGACCGGCCACCACUCACCAUGAAGUUCCACGACAUCGUUCCUACGUUCUAGAUAUGCCAAUAAUCCCAGAUCCCAGGUUUAACAAGCUGGCAGGCUACAAAGUUUAUGAAAUCGUUUAAUGCGUGUAGAGAGUUGAGAUUUUAGACAGGAGAAUUGCAUGCGCAAUUUUAUGGAAUCGGUAGCAAGGCUGCACAAUGCAGUUUGAUGAUCACAGCUGGGGAAAACCGUGUAGCCAGAUACAACAGUUGUUGGGCGAAGGAUACAGGGGAAACUAAAAACAACACUUAUCCUUCACAAUUUCACAUCAUAUAAUCUACAGUUUACAUCAAUAUGCUUCAACAAAGGGGAAAAAGAAAUCACAAUUCGGUACAUCGGCUAACAGGGACUAGCGAUCCCAACCCGAUGGUCGUUUUCUCUCCCUGGACCGAUCCCGUGAACUGCAAUGCAUGCAAAAAUUUUGACUCAGAAAACUGGAUAUUGAAAGAUGGUAAACAGAUGGAUCCACAGGCAAGAAAUGAUGCUGCAAUGGCACAAGAUGCGCCGGAGUUACCUACCUUUCUGGAUUUUGGUUCCCGAUUUCAUUGCUAUUUCCUGCAGGCCGGGAUGCAGGGACGAAGGAGGGUGCCAACGGCGCUGACCGGGAUGCAGGGACGAAGGAGGGGGCUGAUUGUGCUGGCCGCGAGUCUCCUCCUAUGGUGCCGCCAGACACAAAACCGCGAAGUGCUGGUCUUACAAAGGAAGGCGCACUGCUGCUUGGUGUAUUCGAAGAUCCAGACACAAAGCUGCUCUUAAAUUGCUGCAUCAUCCCCGUCUUCAACGAAUUUACAGCAGCAGUUCUUGGAGCAGGUACUUGUGCACCAGAUUCAGCAUUGUAACCUAUGCCAAGGCCAAAAUCAACUCCACGCACACCACGACUGCGCCCAGCACCCCCGCCACCACCUUUUCCUUUGCCACCUCCUUUCUUCCCACCUGAUCAGCAUAACGGCUUGUUAGUACACAUUUCCAUAAAAGACUCAUCCAGAUCACCUGCUUCCUGCACUAUAAAUAAAUAAAGGCGACCUACCUUUCCUGGAGUCCCGUUUUGCUCUAAAUCUUCCAUCCUGCAAUUCAAAUCACAAUAAUUUCAGACAAAAAUGGGAUUAUUUUAAUUGCAAGAGUGACUACGUAAAUUAACAAGAUAGUAUUUACAUUGCUGCAAACAUCCAGUUUGCAUAAAGUAUUCAGCAAGAAUUCCAUGCAAGUCUAGAGCUUACUUUGUAAUGCCAACACAAAAAACAAAAAAUAAUCAAUAAGAUAACUAACCUUCAUAGCCAGAUCCAUGAGUUCAUUGGGUACAUCCUGACCAGCAGCUAUCAAACUGUGAACCAGUUCACCAGCAAAGCGUGCCUCCUUCUGUGUAAUCAGAGUGUAUGCAGUGCCAUCUUUAUCACCAGCACGGCCAGUUCUUCCAAUUCGGUGAAUAUGCAUAUCCAUCUCUUUCGCAAUAUCAAAGUUAACAACUGUUUUAAUUGACUUGAUGUCAAGACCUCGUGCAGCAACAUCAGUUGCAACCAGAACAUGGUAUGUCCCAGAUUUGAACUUCUGUAGGGUCUCCAUACGUGAAGCUUGAUCCUUGUCACCAUGAAGUGCUGCAAUUCUGAAUCCUCUCUGAUUCAACUCUUUCUCUAUCUCAUCCACUCUAGCCUUCUUAGAUGCGAAUACAAGAACGUCUCCAUCAUCAAUCAUUCCAGGCAAUUUCUCCAAAAGCCAAGGCAUUUUCUCAGUAUCAGAAGGGAGUACGUUGACAACUUGUUUAAUGUCUUCAUUAGCACUGCCAACCUGACCAACUGUAACUCUAAUAGGAUCGGUCAAUAUUUCUCUUGCCAAACGCUCCACUUUGUAUGGCAUCGUUGCAGAAAAAAGUAAGGUUUGUCGGUCUGGCCUAAUUUGACCAACAAUGGAUCUUAUUUGUGGCUCAAAUCCAAGAUCAAACAUGCGAUCAGCUUCAUCAAGAACCAGAUAAGUUGCCCUGAACAUCUUCAAUGCCUUCAUCUUCAGCAAGUCUAUUAAUCUCCCUGGGGUUGCAAUGACUACUUCACAGCCUGCUUUCAGUUCUUUAAACUGGUCAAAUUUGGAAACCCCACCAUAUACAGCAGCAACUCGAAGGUUGUAAGGCUUUGCAAACUUCUUAGCUUCGAGAUAUAUCUGAUGUGCCAAUUCUCUUGUUGGAGCACAAAUCACUCCUAUUGGUCCUUCUUCUUUCUCAAGCUCAGGCUGAUCCAUAAUAUGAACAAUCAUAGGGAGUACAAAAGCUGCAGUUUUGCCUGAACCAGUUUUUGCAAUUCCAAUGAUAUCUCUGCCUGAAAGUACGAUAGGUAAAGCCUGACACUGAAUUGUUGUUGGUUUUUCAUAAGCCUGCUUGGCAAUAGCAUUCAUUAACGGUACAGGAAACCCACAAUCCUCAAAGUUUUUUAUUGGCCUUGGCACAUCAAAACCGGAAACCCUAAUUGCCAAACUUUUCAUAUAAUCUGCCACCUCUUGGUCACUCAUACCUAAAAGAAAAAAAAA